rnacentral:rRNA from 1 species
UCCGGUGGCGAUGGCGAAGAGGUCACACCCGUUCCCAUCCCGAACACGGAAGUUAAGCUCUUCAGCGCCGAUGGUAGUCGGGGGCUUCCCCCUGCAAGAGUAGGACGCCGCCGGGC